UCCCUCGUGGUGUAACUGGCAACACGCCGGAGUCUGGUUCCGGAGACGUCGAGGUUCGAAUCCUCGCGAGGGAG
rnacentral:tRNA from 1 species